rnacentral:rRNA from 1 species
CCGGGAGAAUAAGCUCCGGCUAACUCCGUGCCAGCAGCCGCGGUAAUACGGAGGGAGCUAGCGUUGUUCGGAAUUACUGGGCGUAAAGCGCGCGUAGGCGGUUUUUUAAGUCAGAGGUGAAAGCCCGGGGCUCAACCCCGGAAUUGCCUUUGAAACUGGAAAACUUGAAUCUUGGAGAGGUCAGUGGAAUUCCGAGUGUAGAGGUGAAAUUCGUAGAUAUUCGGAAGAACACCAGUGGCGAAGGCGA